GAUGAACGCUGGCGGCGUGCCUAAUACAUGCAAGUCGAGCGAACAGGCGAGGAGCUUGCUCCUCUGACGUUAGCGGCGGACGGGUGAGUAACACGUGGAUAACCUACCUAUAAGACUGGGAUAACUUCGGGAAACCGGAGCUAAUACCGGAUAAUAUAUUGAACCGCAUGGUUCAAUAGUGAAAGACGGUUUUGCUGUCACUUAUAGAUGGAUCCGCGCCGCAUUAGCUAGUUGGUAAGGUAACGGCUUACCAAGGCGACGAUGCGUAGCCGACCUGAGAGGGUGAUCGGCCACACUGGAACUGAGACACGGUCCAGACUCCUACGGGAGGCAGCAGUAGGGAAUCUUCCGCAAUGGGCGAAAGCCUGACGGAGCAACGCCGCGUGAGUGUUGAAGGUCUUCGGAUCGUAAAACUCUGUUAUUAGGGAAGAACAAAUGUGUAAGUAACUAUGCACGUCUUGACGGUACCUAAUCAGAAAGCCACGGCUAACUACGUG
rnacentral:rRNA from 1 species